AUUGAACGCUGGCGGCAGGCCUAACACAUGCAAGUCGAGCGGGGUUUUCGGACCUAGCGGCGGACGGGUGAGUAAUGCGUAGGAAGCUACCCGAUAGAGGGGGAUACCAGUUGGCAACGCCUGUUAAUACCGCAUAAUGUGUACUGACCAAAGUGUGGGACCUUCGGGCCACAUGCCAUCGGAUGCGCCUACGUGGGAUUAGCUGGUUGGAGGUAAGGGCUCACCAAGGCGACGAUCCCUAGCGGGUGUGAGAGGAUGAUCAGCCACACUGGAACUGAGACACGGUCCAGACUCCUACGGGAGGCAGCAGUGGGGAAUAUUGGAUAAGGGGCGCAAGCCUGAUCCAGCCAGGCCGCGUGUGUGAAGAAGGCCUUCGGGUUGUAAAGCACUUUCAGUAGGGAGGAGGCGUUGCGUGUUAAUAGUACACAGCGUUGACGUUACCUACAGAAGAAGCACCGGCUAACUCUGUGCCAGCAGCCGCCGUAACAC
rnacentral:rRNA from 1 species